UUUGGUGAGGAGUCAACUUCUAAAGACUGGCAAUUUUAUGCUCAAGCGGCGGCCCCGGGUUCCAAAGCUGUUGUCAAGCUGCAGGAAGCCCCCGACACCAGAUUUGGGUCUACUCUUAGAGAAACAGCAACAACAGCUAAGCAAGCGUCUAUCAUCUCUGAGCAAGUAAGUGAUUUGCAUACAUCAUCUCCUCUAAAAUUCACGGCAGACCCACAUCAUCUCUGAGGUUAAACAACUUGCCCACACGACAGAACUGCCAGCCCCGGAGAGACUUCACGCAAUCACCCUCUGACUCUUCAGAAAGGAGCCUUGGAAAGGACUUGGAAGCUCCACACCUCUUCCACACACCUUGCCCUACCCACCUCUUCCUUUUGGCUGUUCCUAAAUUAUAUCCUUUGAUCACAAACCAGUAAUCUACUCCAGGUGGAACCAACCCAGAAGAGAACAGAGGGAUGGUUCUUGGCUCUGUGCGUCCAUCCACUCUCCCCACCACAUCUGGGCAGGAAGGACCACUCUGUACCCACACCCUGCCUUUGGAGAGUGCCUCAUUUUAUAAAGGCUGGAUUUAAAAAUCAGACAUCUGGUAGCUGGAAGUGCCAGGAUUCAACCCAGGUCUCGCUCCAAAACUGUUUGCACUUUGCCAAAAUUCUAUGUUGUUGACAUGUCUGUCUACCUAGAAAGCCCAAGAGGAUCCAUCAAAACCCUAUCAGGGCGACAAAGAGAGCUCAGCAAGUUGACUGUGUUUCAAAUAACUUUAACCAUUUCAGACAAUAUGAUGAAACAAUUUACUCCUUAAGGUACCUGCUCAGAUCGGGGUGACUCCUUCUCUGGGCUAUGUUUCUAGAAUCAAAAGAAACCAGCAAGGGUGGCUGCCCCUGGGGAGGAAACUAAGUGACGGGGAAUGGGAGUAGGAGGGAGAUUUAUAUCUCACUGUUCAACGCUUGAUUGUUGUGCCCUAUGAAUAUGUUACCUAUUGAAAAUCAAAAUUCCAUGGGAUUAAUAAGCGGUGAGGCAAAAAGUUCAGGAUAUCAGAGCAUCUGGCUGGCUCAGUCGGAGCAGAGGAGCAUGCGACUCUUAAUCUCAGGGUCAUAAAUUCGAGCCCCACGUUAGGUGUAGAGAUUACUAAAAAAAAAUAAAUAAAUAAAUGUAAAAGAACUUUUUAAAAAAUGUUCAGGAUAUUAGCAGGGAUAUUAAUGGGACAUUAAACAUCAGGACGUUAGAACUACUGUUGAGUUAUUCUAUCACCUCUGAAUAAUUUUCAACCUAAAAGAAUAUUAAACAAGAUUUAGAUGCUACUAGGUACAGAGGUAGAAGCCUCUCUAAUGAAAUUUACUGUUUUUUUUCAAAUGUCUAAGAAGAUAGGAACUCCCCCUCCUAUUUUUGGGGGAUAGAUUAACAAAGGUUUUGCUGUUACCUGGAGGUUACUUUGCUCCAGAGGAUAGUUUAUUACUCCUUUUAUUACUUCCCUCUGGAUAAAAUGACUGUCAGGUUAAGAUCCAAUUACCUCUGUCUCAGAAGGUUCAAUGUGCAUUUCUCUUUCUCUCUCUCUCUCUCCUUUUUAAAGAAAGCUAUUAAACAAUAAGACAUCAUUAAUUUGAGGCAGAAAGAGUUCUCACAGCAAAACCUUAAGAGCAUUUAAAUGCUUUAUUCUAAUAAUUAAAGUUCUCUCUUGCAAAGGGUACACUUAGAUCCAGGGCAUCUUGAGUGCUUUUAUGGAGAGGAGUCCAUGGUCACAGUUCACCAGUCCCAUGAGAUUUUCCAAAAGAGGAAGAACUAUUCGUUGUAACAUGGAAGGAGGCUUCUGUUAUGUAGAAGAAAAACUGACCAAGCGUCCUCUGGAAUAGAUAAUAUUUACACCAGCAACCAAAAUAUAAAAUACCAAGAGAUCUUUUAAAGAACUGCACAGGGGAUCCCUGGGUGGUGCAGUGGUUUGGCGCCUGCCUUUGGCCCAGGGCACGAUCCUGAAGACCCGGGAUCGAAUCCCACGUCGGGCUCCCGGUGCAUGGGGCCUGCUUCUCCCUCUGCCUGUGUCUCUGCCUCUGUGUGUGUGUGUGUGACUAUCAUAAAUAAAAAUUAAAAAAAAAAUAAAGAACUGCACAGAUCUGGGAGGGAAAACACCAGGAAAAAAAUUUCUGAUCAUCAAAAAAUAGGGACUUGAAUAGAUGGAGGGAUUUGCAGAAAGUACCGACAAAGACCUCAUACCCUGGCGUCACAGGCACCUGCUAAGCCUAUAGACAGACAGCUCACUUGUAAAAAUGAGGUGCCUCGCAGUACCUGCUACAGCAGUGAACAUCAGAGAGAUGCCUGCAGAGCGGGGGCACUGGUACCUGUGAGGCGGUCUGUGUCACGCUGGGUUUCACAGAGGAUAAAGAUGCCAGCAUUUUCCUCAAUCAAUGGGGCAGAGGCCUAGACAAGUUAGGUUUCUUGACAAACUGUAUUUUCUUUUUUUUUUUUAUUUUUUA